UACAGAGGGUGCAAGCGUUAAUCGGAAUUACUGGGCGUAAAGGGCUCGUAGGCGGCAAACUAAGUCAGACGUGAAAUCCCUCGGCUCAACCCAGGAACUGCGUCCGAUACUGGAAGGCUUGAAUCCGGGAGAGGGAUGCGGAAUUCCGAGUGUAGAGGUGAAAUUCGUAGAUAUUCGGAAGAACACCAGUGGCGAAGGCGGCUCACUGGACCGGCAUUGACGCGUGAGGUGCGAAAGCGUGGGGAGCAAACAGG
rnacentral:rRNA from 1 species